UACGGGGGGGGCAAGCGUUGUUCGGAAUUACUGGGCGUAAAGGGUUCGUAGGUGGCUCAGUAAGUCGGGUGUGAAAACUCCAGGCUCAACCUGGAGACGCCACCUGAUACUGCUGUGGCUAGAGUCCGGUAGGGGAGCAUGGAAUUCCUGGUGUAGCGGUGAAAUGCGCAGAUAUCAGGAGGAACACCAGUGGCGAAGGCGGUGCUCUGGGCCGGAACUGACGCUGAGGAGCGAAAGCGUGGGGAGCAAACAGG
rnacentral:rRNA from 1 species